UGAGCCUUUGGGCCACAAUUCCAGAUUACCGUCCAUCCUAGCAGAAUCUUGAAACAGCUGUUCACAUUACAUCCACAGUCAGGGCCAGAGAAAAACCCAUGCACACAUACUUCCUUUCCUAGACUUUUAAUGCAAUUUGGGACCCAACUCAGGGAAUGGUGCCACCCACAAUGGUCUGGGUCUCCUCACGUCAAUUAAUGUGACCAAGACAAACGUCCUAUAGACCAACCAUACAAUCCCUCACUGAGAUUCCCUUCCCAGGUAAUUCCAGACUGCGACAAUGCAAAGUACCCAUCCCAGUUUUGGUGGGCAGAGGCGUAUUAUCACUGUAAAAACCCCUAUAGCAUAGAAGUAAUACACAUAAUUUUCUCAAAUUUUCACCUAGUUAAGAAAUACAAAUCUCAAUUCUGAAAGUACAGAGAAUACAGUGACCUGUAUGAUUUUUUUUAAUAUUAUCUGGACGUAUCCUUUAAAAUGAAGAUUCAUGUUAAGAUUCUUCAAAACAGAUCGCUGCUCUUCAUGUGAGCCAGCAGCUGGCACUACAGCCAUUUGUAUCUGCUCCUAUUUUAUCGUAUUCCCUGGAGGCUCAAGCCCUGCCACCUCUUCCUCCUGUGAGUCAUCUGUAUUUGUACACUCAAAGCCUCGCUGUGUGCCAGUCGGGGAAAACCUCGCCAGGAGACUGGCAGGGCAUUAGAGCAUGACCGAACUGCAUGUAAACUGCCUGAGGAAUCUGACUCCCCUGGGAACAGUUUUCACAGUGCGGUGGCCCUGCAGGCUGCCAUACAUGUGGAACCCAAGUGUGUUUGAAAUAUGUUCCCACAAGCUAGAGUUCUGGUGCCUACUGCCCCUCAUAAGAGGCUGAUACAAAGCUCCCAGGUUCUCUGAAUCUACUUGGAUCCAGAGGAAGCUGUUGGUGGCUUCCAGAGACUCAUGUCCGUGUGUAAUGGAGAAGACAAAGACACUGCCGAGCAGGCAGUGAAGAGAAACCGCCCACGUGGGAAGACAGGAGCAGCAGCACACAGUUCGCCAGUGGAAACCAGCAGCAGUGGAAGCUGUCGCUCUUCCAGACGGAGUUAGAUGGCCGCAAAGUGGGGUCUUCGUUCUGACCUUGAUAAUGUGGCGGGAUCUUCAUGGACUUUCAGGCUAAUAUGCAUGGAUACAAAAAUUACCCAGCAAUCUUGAAGCUUAAAAAAAAGGAAAAGAAAAAGAUGGCAGUAAUUAAAUAACAAAAAAAAACUAUAUUCAAAUAAAAUUAAGGGUUUGACUUAAA